rnacentral:tRNA from 1 species
UUGCGAGUUCCACUGUCUGAUGAUGUGCCAGCGCUCAUAACGCUGAGAAGGUUGGUUUGAUUCCAGCACUCGCAACCAA